UCGGCAGAUUCCAGUCGGUCCUCUCUUGCGGCAUUCUUCUGGGCUGUGUCGGCAGCUCUGCUCUCUAGCCAUCCAUUUUCUCGGACUGGGAGUUCUUCCCCGCAUCUUGAUGUUCUUAGGUCUUGAUGACAGGCUUCUUGCACAUCCAUCAUCUUGGUUUUGACGGUGCUGUCUUGUAACAGGCUGUUACGUUAGACUCCUUGGGGUCUGCCAUACAGCCUCCUUCCCUCAGUAUUUUGGACACUAUAGGUCGUCUUGCUGGAUAGCACCUCCCGUCCGGGAGUCAUUCUUCUUGCUGAGAGUUUUCUCUCACUUUGAGUCACCUUGUCUGUAGUGUUCUGUGUUAUGUUGGUCUGUGCACAGGUGUGUUUGGCUUGGAGCUGCUCUGCCCGGGGAUGUAGAGUCAGGGGUAGUUGGAACAGCGAUAAGAGUCUAUGGGUGAAAUGUUGAUUUGUCUUAAUUGUUUAGGCAAGGGUUGUACAGUCAUCUGGGAUCGAGUAGGCAUUGGUGGGCUGCGUGGACAGCAACACCGAGAGUUUUUUACAGAAAUGAUUGUAGCCAUGCGGCAUGGGCUGUUGAGGGGUGGUGAAGCGGAUAUCAGUCUCUAAGGUGUUGAGGCUUGCAUGUGAUGGGCUUAAAGUUUGGCCCUGUUUUUUUUUGUUUUGUUUUUUUUUUUUUUAAAUGGCUGGCUGUAGCUGGAGUACUGGUAUUCCUAGAUGGAAUGAAGAUCUCUGGAGUUGUUAAGCUCUUGCUCUGCAUCCAGGCUGACUCGUUCAAUAUGGUUUUUUUUUUCAGUUGCGGAGAGACAAGAUGCGUGCCCCAGAGCGACGGAGGAGGGGAGCGGAGUGCCGUAAGGAGGCGCAAAGCAAGGAGCGAAGCGGGCCAUCGGUACUGGAGGUGACUCGGGCAAGGUGAGCUGCGACUACUGGGUUAAAGGAACUGUUCCUUUGGAGGUGUCGUAUUGUUGGCAAAGUUGGAAGCAUCCCUUGUUGUUUGUUUUUUUUGCAGGCGGUACGCAUGCCUUGACGUGGCAAGCUCUUGAUGACAGAGCGGGGUGGUCGAGCGGCCAAGGUGGCACACGCAGCCUUGGAGGGGUGAAGCCGCAGGCCGAUGAGCAGUGUGAUAAGGCGCUGUGUGGGCCACCUUUGGAAUGGGAUGAGCGUUUAAGGUACCAUGAGAGAUGAUGGCUGCAGGGUGUGACUCUGGAAUGAGCGGAUGAUGAAGAGGAACCUGGUGGCUGCCGGAUCAUCCCAGUUAGCCCAUGUGAUUUUUGUGGAGGAUGCACUCGUAGCCUUGGCCCUCUGAAAGU